rnacentral:rRNA from 1 species
AACGAACGCUGGCGGCAUGCCUAACACAUGCAAGUCGAACGAGACCUUCGGGCUUAGAGGCGACCGGGUGCGCAACGCGUGGGAACACGCCUUUAGGUUCGGCAUAACACCUCGAAAGGGGCGCUAAUACCGGAUAAUGACACCGGACCAAAGCUUUAUCGCCUGUGGUUGGGGCCGCGUUGGUUCAGUGUGUUGGUAGGGUACAAGCCAUCAAAGGCGACGAUCCAUAGCUGGCUAGCGAGGGUGAACAGCCACACUGGGACUGAGACACGGCCCAGACGCCUACGGGAGGCAGCGGUGAGGACUAUUGGACAGUAGGCGAGAGCCUGAGCCGGCAAUGCCGCGUGGGUGAUGAAGGCCUUAGGGUUGUAAAGCUCUUUGACCCGAGAUGAUAAUGACGGUACCGGGAGAAUAAGCUCCGGCUAACUCCGUG